UAAACAGCUUUUUAAUACUGUAUCUCAAUGUAAACCGUGAGGAAGAGAAGAAGAAGCUUUCCCAUCUGGCAACACUGAAUAGCACGCUGUAUUAAAUAUGGUUGAUAGAAUGACGGAUGUUUCGGUUGUUCUUAGUUAAUUAAGACUACGUUGUUGGAUAUGAACGUAAUAAGAUAACAUAAUGCGAUAUAAACGAUAUUAUGAAACCUUAAUUUUUCCUUGAUAAGGUCAUAAUUUAGCUUAUACAGUAUACAUCUUCCCAUGCUUUACUAACCUAUGUGAAUUUGAAAAUCGAAAUACUCUGGAUAUUUUAAAACUGUUCGUCAUAUCACGAAUGCUGUCAGAAUAGAUUAAAAUUGUGUAUUUGUUAGUUUUUGGAAAAUAUCAGUAUGUCUACUAGAAAUUGUCAGCAUUGCGGUUGUAAUGAAAUAGAUACUGAUCCUGGAAGAGGAGAUGCAGUUUGUACACAAUGUGGAUCAGUGCUUGAAGAUAAUAUCAUUAUAUCUGAAAUACAGUUUGAAGAAAAUAGUCAUGGAGGAGCAAGGGCAAUAGGACAACAUGUUACUUCAGAAGGUCAAACACCCGGAUUGAGCAGAGGUUAUCCUUAUGGCACAGGAAAAGAAUCUCAAAUGAUAACAUUGCAAAAUGGUUUGUUUGAUUAUAUUCUGAAAUAUACAUUUAUAUUGGGUUGCUCGGAAAGUAAGUUCAUU